UAGGAUUCUGCUCUAUCUUCACAGAUGUUAGAAACAGACAAGACCACCAUCACUCUAGGAGGAAGGCAAGCUUUGCAUCACGUGGACCAGGAGUCAGUGAAAGGUUAAUCAGGUAUUCCUUUAGUUUGUGUGUGCUUCCAAAUCAGUCUUUCUUUUUGUGUCCUUUAUGCUGCAUACAUACCGUGGGGUAUUUUCUAAUUUAUAUCACCUGUACAUUUCAGAAAAAUAUUAGAUUGCAUUCAUCAUCAUCUGCCUUGCUGUGUAUUUAUAAUGUUGUAUUUUCAU
rnacentral:lncRNA from 12 species